AAUCGAACCCGGAGAUAGCUGGUUCUCCUCGAAAUAGCUUUAGGGCUAGCCUCAUGGAUCAUUGAUGGGGGUAGAGCACUGAAUGUGCGCGGGGGCCACAAAGCCUACCAAACGCUAUCAAACUACGAAUACCAUACAAUGCAGACCAUGGGAGUCAGUCCGCGAGAGAUAAGUUCCGCGGGCAAAAGGGGAACACCCCAGAUCAACCGCUAAGGUCCCCAAGUUCACGUUAAGUGGAGAAGGAUGUGGAAUUGCACAGACAACCAGGAUGUUGGCUCAGAAGCAGCCACACAUUUAAAGAGUGCGUAAUAGCUCACUGGUCGAGUGAUUGUGCGCCGAAGAUGUCCGGGGCUAAACGUGACACCGAAGCGAUGGGUGCAUCUGAAAGGAUGCGCGGUAGAGGAGCAAUGUGCAGAGGCAGAAGCCGUAUCGAGAGGCACGGUGGACACUGCACAAGAGAGAAUGCCGGUAUGAGUAGCGAGAGGCAUGCGAGAAACAUGCCCGUCGAAAGCCCAAGGUUUCCUGGGGAAGGUUCAUCCGCCCAGGGUAAGUCGGGGCCUAAGCCGAGGACGGAAGUCGUAGGCGAUGGACAGCAGGUGUAGAUUCCUGCACUACCGAUGGAAUGAAGCAGUGACACAGAAGGAUAACUCGAGCAGGGUGAUGGUCAACCCUGUGCAAGCAUCAAGGUUGGGUUGUAGUGAAGUACGCAACCCUACAAGCUGAGGUGUGAUGCGGACCGAAAUUUCAGUAGGGAAGCGAGUGAGUUCACGCUGGCGAGAAAAGCUGCUAGUACAUCCAAAGGUACCCGUACCGGAAACCGACGCAGGUGGGCGAGGAGAGAAUCCUGAGACGAACGGGAGAACCCUUGUUAAGGAACUCGGCAAAAUGACCCCGUAACUUCGGGAUAAGGGGUGCCUGCGAGAGCAGGCCGCAGAGAAUAGUCACAAGCGACUGUUUAGCAAAAACACAGGUAUCUGCGAAAGCGAGAGCUGACGUAUAGGUGCUGACACCUGCCCGGUGCUGGAAGGUUAAGGGAACAUGUUAGAGCAAUCGAAGCAUCGAACCGAAGCCCCAGUAAACGGCGGCCGUAACUAUAACGGUCCUAAGGUAGCGAAAUUCCUUGUCGGGUAAGUUCCGACCCGCACGAAUGGUGUAACGACUUGUGAGCUGUCUCAACAGGGGGCCCGGUGAAAUUGAAGUAUGGGUGAAGAUGCCCAUUACCCGCGACUGGACGGAGAGACCCCGUAGAGCUUUACUGCAGCCUGAUAUUGAGUUUCGGUAACUGAUGCACAGGAUAGGUGGGAGUCUGAGAGACACGGGUUUCGGCUCGUGUGGAGACGCUGUUGGGAUACCACUCUUCGGUUACUGAAAUUCUAACAUAGCUCUGUGAAACCAGAGGAUGGACAGUGUCAGGUGGACAGUUUGACUGGGGCGGUCGCCUCCGAAAGAGUAACGGAGGCGCCCAAAGGUACCCUCAGAAUGGAUGGAAACCAUUCGAAGAGCGCAAAGGCAGAAGGGUGCCUGACUGCGAGAUUGACAAAUCGAGCAGAGACGAAAGUCGGGCUUAGUGAUCCGGCGGUAUUGAGUGGAAAAGCCGUCGCUUAACGGAUAAAAGCUACCUCGGGGAUAACAGGCUGAUCUCCCCCAAGAGUCCACAUCGACGGGGAGGUUUGGCACCUCGAUGUCGGCUCAUCGCAUCCUGGGGCUGUAUUCGGUCCCAAGGGUUUGGCUGUUCGCCAAUUAAAGCGGCACGCGAGCUGGGUUCAGAACGUCGUGAGACAGUUCGGUCCCUAUCCAUCGUGGGCGUAGGAGUCAUGAGAGGAGCUGUUCCUAGUACGAGAGGACCGGAAUGGACGCACCACUGGUGCAACUGUUGUCGUGCCAACGGCAUAGCAGGGAAGCGAAGUGCGGAUGGGAUAAACGCUGAAGGCAUCUAAGCGUGAAGCCCACCUCAAGAAUAAGACUCCACAAUAGACCCCUGGAGGACUACCAGGUAGAUAGGUCAUCGGUGGAAGCGCUGUAAGGCGUGCAGCUUGAUGAUACUAAUCGGUCGAAAGCUUCAUUU
rnacentral:rRNA from 1 species